GGCCACCCCUCCCUGGCUCCUAGAAAUCCCCAGGGGGCGGGAAGCGUGGCCAACAGGGCCCUGAGCUCAGCCUCACCCCUCCCUGGAAGGCAGCGAUCAUGAGACUUUGGAGAAACCCAAAUUAGCCACUCUCCAGGCGAGAGUUUCCUCAUGAAUGUGGUAUCUGUCACAUCCUGCAGUACAGACAAGCCAGGCCUUUCAGACAGCUGUUGCAGCCUCCUCCAGAGCUGAGCUGGGUCCAGGAGAUGUGGAAAAGCUGGUGCUCUGAGAUCUCUGGACCGAGCCCUUGAAAGUGCUUAAAACCCUGCUGGAGCAUUGUACCGGAUGGGUCUGGUGCUGAACCUGUCUGUGCAUCUGCUGGUGAGAAACAAAUACAAACACAACUUCUGCGCUGUCCACGCAAAGUGGCCCCAGAGACUCCAUUUUCGUCAGAGCUCAGCAGGACUGCUCUGGGGACAUCUUCUCCAGUGGAGUCUCAGCGUUCGCCCGUCCUACCAACCUGGAA